rnacentral:rRNA from 1 species
UACGAAGGGGGCUAGCGUUGCUCGGAAUUACUGGGCGUAAAGCGCACGUAGGCGGCUUUCUAAGUCGGGGGUGAAAUCCUGGAGCUCAACUCCAGAACUGCCUUCGAUACUGGAGAGCUCGAGUCCGGGAGAGGUGAGUGGAACUGCGAGUGUAGAGGUGAAAUUCGUAGAUAUUCGCAAGAACACCAGUGGCGAAGGCGGCUUUCUGGUCUGUAACUGACGCUGAGGCGCGAAAGCGUGGGGAGCAAACAGG